rnacentral:tRNA from 1 species
AGCAGGUUGGAGAAGUAGUAAUCUUGCCCCACUCAUAAUGGGGAGACCAGUGGUGCAAAUCCACUACCUGCAA